rnacentral:rRNA from 1 species
GUGAACGCUGGCGGUAGGCCUAACCCAUGCCAGUCGAACGGCAGCACAGUAAGAGCUUGCUCUUACGGGUGGCGAGUGGCGGACGGGUGAGGAAUACAUCGGAAUCUACUUUUUCGUGGGGGAUAAUGUAGGGAAACUUACGCUAAUACCGCAUACGACCUACGGGUGAAAGCAGGGGAUCUUCGGACCUUGCGCGAUUGAAUGAGCCGAUGUCGGAUUAGCUAGUUGGCGGGGUAAAGGCCCACCAAGGCGACGAUCCGUAGCUGGUCUGAGAGGAUGAUCAGCCACACUGGAACUGAGACACGGUCCAGACUCCUACGGGAGGCAGCAGUGGGGAAUAAUGGACAAAGGGCGCAAGCCUGAUCCAGCCAUACCGCGUGGGUGAAGAAGGCCUUCGGGUUGUAAAGCCCUUUUGUUGGGAAAGAAAAGCAGCAGGUUAAUACCCCGCUGUUCUGACGGUACCCAAAGAAUAAGCACCGGCUAACUUCGUG